AGCAGCCGCGGUAAUUCCAGCUCCAAUAGCGUAUAUUAAAGUUGUUGCAGUUAAAAAGCUCGUAGUUGAAUUUCGGGAUCRAAUUGUUGGUCGUGCUUCGGUACGCACUGGCAUUAUYGGUUCCUACCUUCUGAAGAACCGCGAUGUCAUUAAUUUGGUGUCGUGGGGAAUCAGGACUGUUACUUUGAAAAAAUUAGAGUGUUUAAAGCAGGCUUACGCUUGAAUACAUUAGCAUGGAAUAAUGAAAUAGGACGUUUGAUUCUAUUUUGUUGGUUUCUAGGAUCGACGUAAUGAUUAAUAGGGAUAGUUGGGGGCAUUAGUAUUCAAUUGUCAGAGGUGAAAUUCUUGGAUUUAUUGAAGACUAACUACUGCGAAAGCAUUUGCCAAGGAUGUUUUCAUUAAUCAAGAACGAAAGUUAGGGGAUCGAAGACGAUCAGAUACCGUCGUAGUCUUAACCAUAAACUAUGCCGACUAGGGAUCGGAUGA
rnacentral:rRNA from 1 species